ACGGGUGAGUAAUACAUCGGAACGUGCCCAGUAGUGGGGGAUAGCCCGGCGAAAGCCGGAUUAAUACCGCAUACGACCUACGGGUGAAAGCGGGGGAUCGCAAGACCUCGCGCUAUUGGAGCGGCCGAUGUCAGAUUAGCUAGUUGGUGGGGUAAAAGCCUACCAAGGCGACGAUCUGUAGCUGGUCUGAGAGGACGACCAGCCACACUGGGACUGAGACACGGCCCAGACUCCUACGGGAGGCAGCAGUGGGGAAUUUUGGACAAUGGGCGCAAGCCUGAUCCAGCCAUGCCGCGUGUGGGAAGAAGGCCUUCGGGUUGUAAACCACUUUUGUCAGGGAAGAAACGGUCUGAUCUAAUAAAUCGGACUAAUGACGGUACCUGAAGAAUAAGCACCGGCUAACUACGUGCCAGCAGCCGCGGUAAUACGUAGGGUGCAAGCGUUAAUCGGAAUUACUGGGCGUAAAGCGUGCGCAGGCGGCUAUGCAAGACAGAUGUGAAAUCCCCGGGCUCAACCUGGGAACUGCAUUUGUGACUGCAUGGCUAGAGUACGGUAGAGGGGGAUGGAAUUCCGCGUGUAGC
rnacentral:rRNA from 8 species